AUAUAUGGAGGAACACCGGUGGCGAAAGCGGCUCUCUGGUCUGUAACUGACGCUGAGGCUCGAAAGCGUGGGGAGCGAACAGGAUUAGAUACCCUGGUAGUCCACGCCGUAAACGAUUUGGGCACUGUCUCAACGAGAGACUCGGUGAAAUCAUAGUACCUGUGAAGAUGCAGGUUACCCGCGACAGGACGGAAAGACCCCGUGGAGCUUUACUGUAGCCUGAUAUUGAAAUUCGGCACAGCUUGUACAGGAUAGGUAGGAGCCUUUGAAACGUGAGCGCUAGCUUACGUGGAGGCGUUGGUGGGAUACUACCCUAGCUGUGUUGGUUUCUAACCCGCACCACUUAUCGUGGUGGGAGACAGUGUCAGGCGGGCAGUUUGACUGGGGCGGUCGCCUCCUAAAAGGUAACGGAGGCGCUCAAAGGUUCCCUCAGAAUGGUUGGAAAUCAUUCAU
rnacentral:rRNA from 1 species